GAGGGAUGUAGAAAUUGUUAAUU
rnacentral:piRNA from 1 species